CCGCUGCCGCCCGGCACGGCCAGCCCCGGCGGGGCCCCGCUCCCGCCUUCCCCGCUCCGCUCGCUCCUGCGGUCAGCGCGGUGCCAGCCCGGCCCGAGCCCGCCCUGCAGAGCCGGGGAUGCGAGCGCGGGGCCGGAGCUCCAGGGUUAAGGCUCACUGCGGAGCCUGGCAGCCGGCAGACUGAGGACGCCUUACAGCCCGGAAAAAGCCCAGAGGCAUUGGUAUUCACUGCGCUGUCUCCUGUAACCCGGGCAGCCAGCGUGCUGCUCGUGCAGGUGCAUUGCUUCCCUGCCGGUGCAGGAAAAGCGCCGUGGGCGAUGCAACAGGUGCCAGCAUGAGCAGCCUCUCUGCGUGGUGUGUUCCAGUUGCUCAGUCCAACACGCAUCCCGUUUUCCUGAGAUCAAUGGUCUGUAAUGCUAAAGGCCCUUUCUGGCUGUGGCACAGAGCAAGUCCUGUCUCCGGCUAUGGAUCAUCCUGUCUAUCUCAUUUAUUUCUCCCAUCAGUGUUCUGUCCUGAGUAAAUAAAGUGUAAAAUAAGCUUG